GACGAACGCUGGCGGCGUGCUUAACACAUGCAAGUCGAACGAAGUGGCGCACGGGCGAGUAACGCGUAAUCAACCUGCCCUUCAGAGGGGGACAACAGUUGGAAACGACUGCUAAUACCGCAUAACGAAGGGGGGGAUUGCGACUGAUUAGCUAGUUGGGGGGGUAACGGCCCCCCAAGGCGAUGAGCAGUAGCCGGUCUGAGAGGAUGAACGGCCACACUUGGACUGAGACACGGCCCAGACUCCUACGGGAGGCAGCAGUGGGGAAUCGUCCGCAAUGGACGAAAGUCUGACGGAGCAACGCCGCGUGAGUGAUGACGGCCUUCGGGUUGUAAAGCUCUGUUAAUCGGGACGCGGUACCGGAAUAGAAAGCCACGGCUAACUACGUGCCAGCAGCCGCGGUAAUUC
rnacentral:rRNA from 1 species